GCCGGGUGUGGUGGUGCACACCUGUAAUUCCAGCUACUCAGGAGGCUGAGGCACAAGAAUCACUUGAACCCAGGAGGUGGAGGUUGCAGUGAGCCAAGAUCACACCACUGCACUCCAGCCUGGGCAACAGAGUGAGAAUUUGUCUCAG
rnacentral:SRP_RNA from 1 species